rnacentral:rRNA from 1 species
UACAGAGGUGGCAAGCGUUGUUCGGAAUUACUGGGCGUAAAGGGCGCGUAGGCGCUUGUCAGUCAGACGUGAAAUCCCCAGGCUUAACUUGGGAACUGCGUCUGAUACUACAAGGCUGGAGUUCGGGAGAGGGAUGUGGAAUUCCAGGUGUAGCGGUGAAAGUGCGUAGAUAUACUGGAGGAACACCGGUGGCGAAGGCGGCAUCCUGGACCGAAACUGACGCUGAUGCGCGAAAGCCAGGGGAGCAAACGGG